rnacentral:rRNA from 1 species
UACGUAGGGUGCGAGCGUUAAUCGGAAUUACUGGGCGUAAAGGCUCGUAGGCGGCCAACUAAGUCAGACGUGAAAUCCCCCGGCUUAACCUGGGAACUGCGUCUGAUACUGGGAGGCUAGAGUGCGGGAGAGGGAUGCGGAAUUCCAGGUGUAGCGGUGAAAUGCGUAGAUAUCUGGAGGAACACCGGUGGCGAAGGCGGCAUCCUGGACCGACACUGACGCUGAGGCGCGAAAGCUAGGUAGCAAACGGG